UUUUGGCGUCUCUGGUUGAGGAGGUUCCGGUUUAGGAGAUUCUUCUGGUUUUGGUGGCUCUUGCUUAGGCGACUCUUGUUUUGGUGACUCAGGCUUGGGUUUUGGUGGCUCUUGCUUAGGAGACUCUUGUUUUGGUGACUCAGGCUUGGGUUUUGGCUGUUCUGGUUUUGGUUGCUCUUGCUUAGGCGACUCUUGUUUUGGUGACUCAGGCUUAGGUUUUGGUUGUUCCGGUUUUGGAGAUUCCUGUUUUGGUGACUCUGGCGUAGGUUCCUUUGGGUUGGAAGGCUCAUGUGAUGGUGUCUCAGGCUUUGGACUAGGCUGUUGUGGUUUGGGAGAUUCUUCUGGUUUUGGCUUAGAUGGCUCUUCUAAUUUUGGUGGGUUAAUUUCUUUCUUAGGCUCCGG
rnacentral:lncRNA from 1 species